CGGGGCCGGCGGAGCCACUGCCACCGGCAGAAGUUGGCGACAAACGUGUGGUCGCCGUGGCUGCAGCCGCGGUUUUCUUUCUAUUUCUGCUGCAGCUUCCUGUCCUUGACCCAGCGAUACAUUGUGAAGUUCUCCGGAGUCAAUGAAUCCUGGUAAAAUGCAGUAAAGGAUUUAAGGUUAUCGUCUGUCUCUCUCUAACUUCUGACAUCUCUUUAUAACAAGAAAGAGUCACAGCCAACUGUAACAGGAGGGCAACACAAUGAAUCCUGGUGUCAAAGACCAUCUGGAUCCGUCAGUUAUGCCUAGUUGUGCCUGAUGUCUUACUGUUGAAAGAAAUGGGGUGCAGCAGCAGAGGCCAGCAAAGUAAAGGUGCCUACACAGUGCUGUUUGCAAAGCAGGGUGUUUUAUGAGAGCAUGGAACUGCACGUCACAGCACCUUUUCUCCAUGGGUUGAGACUGUUGUAACACUCCAAACUUCUGCUACCCACAUACCCUCCACUGCAGUAAUUCUUUGGUACUGUGGAGAGUCAGUCACACAGUGCUGAUCAGAUCAUGUGCCACCUGUUAUGUCCACUAGUAUAUGGGAAUAUAGCAAGGAAAAGAGAAUAACAAAGCUUUAGUGGUGUGGUGUCCCUCACAGUCAGUGUAGUAAGUUAGAACAAACUGCAAAAACUCAAAGCUAUUUUCCUCAGCAGGUCAGCAUUCAGGGAGACCCAGAGCACAGGGAGAGUUACUGCCACCAUUCCCCCCCUUCCCCAGACUGGCAUUCUGGCCAAAGUUAAUGAUUCAUAAGAUUCUGCACUGAUUUCACUGUGAGCUUCCACAUUUGCAUAAGUAAAAGCUUCUGCAGCUUCUGUAGGGAAAUUCUUAGUGAAAUUGCAGCACAAAACAUUGAUAUUAUGUAAUUAUAGUAGUUCAUUGUAACUUAAAUGAAAUUGUUACUUUAAACUUGCUCUAAGUGGCUCACAAUGGAACUUUGUAUGACACACCUACAAAACAAAUGAGUUAAUCACAAUAUGUGUAAUUUUUAAUUUUUCUCUUUCAUUUUUCUUUCAGUCAUUCUCUCUUUGUAAUUAGCAUGAAGACUACCCUUCAGUCAAAACUAGCCACCUGGAAAGUUUCAGCUUGUAAUAUGCAGCUUUUUUUGUGAAUUAUGAAUGUGCUAAAGAAGAGACCUUUCUCCCCACACCCACUUCCUUGCAUAAUUCAAAUAUGAAUGAAUGAAUUUUAUUCAGGCUUGCCAAAAAAAUCAUAUUUCAGCUGAUAACAAGCAUGAAAAAUUUCACAUGAAAGGGAUUUUUUUUUUUAAAGAAUAUUCCGAGCAUGGGAGAACAGCAGGUUAAGACAGAAGUCUUAGUGCAGCCUUAAAUAUAACAUUGUUAGCAAGCAAAUACUAUAUCCAAGCACUAAAUUUUGCUUUGUACUGCCCUGGUGCACAGUAGUGGGGACAGAACAGAAUAAUAAAAGCUGAUCCCCUUAUGCAAACAGCAGAGCACAGCACUUGACAGAAUACAAGAAGAAGGUGAGCCUGCCUACUGUUCUGGCUUGCUAACCAUAUUGCUAAGGUCUGUGAGUUAGUUGUCACCUAUAGCUCCAGUCAGCUGGCAAAUGUAGUUCAAACACUAGCAAGGGGCAUGUUUUUGGUCCUUUCCAGAAGAACGUUUUACCAGUUCCUUGCCUCCAAAUAUACAGUCCUAUUAAAUAAAGUAUUUGAAGGAAGUUCAUAUAGGUAACAUGAUGGUUUAACAGGUCAAAAAGGGAAUGGAAUAGUGCUAGGUUUUUUUCUGAUUAACUGUGUAUUUUGAAAAAUAUGUAUCUGUAAAGAAGGUAUUAUCUGCAUCCCUCACUUACCUUAAUGCUUUUCAGACAAAGCAGAAUGAGAUUUUGGCUGGUGCCGGUACCACUUUGAAAAUAAACUAUUACAGGAAAGAAAAGUUGCAAUCUGGAACGCAUUUCUGCAUUGCAUUUUCUUUUGUUCCUAAUAGUGGUUUGGGGAUAAGCCCUGCUCUCCUUUCUACCCAAAAAACAGGACUAAAAAAACCGUACUAAGCAUUUAUUAAAAAAACCACCCAUUGCAGUGGCUAAACAGUAGCGAAUACUUCAGUAUUACUUUACAGAUUCCCAUCGAUUGGAGGAUCAACAGAAGGGAUUUGCAGAUGGCAAGCAAAAAAUACCCUUCUAGUCUGAUGUGAGUUGACUGUUGUAAGUUGAGCUUGGCAGCAAGUGACCAAAAUUGAGUUGUCAGCAUCCUCCUGCGUAGUGGAAGAAGUUGUUGCUUUCUUGUGCAGAUGCAAGAGUUUCUGUGGGAAAACAGAACAUAAUCACGGUUAUGAAUGUCUCUGUGGAUUGGUAAUGUCUCUAAUACAUAGAUCACUUUUGCAAAUUCAGUCCCAGCUGGAUGGGAAAUUAUUGAAAAUGGUUGUUGUUUGAUUGAUAUAAAAUGAGUUGUCAGCUUGAUUCAAUACCUCCAGGGCAGAUGUCCACAGCAUAAUUGGCACCUGUCAGAAGCAAAGAAUUCCUUGGUACAGAGUAACAACUACUCAUGCAACCACCCAAAACAGCCCUUGCAUGCCAGGGCUCAGAGAAGAAGGCAGGAAAAAACAAUUUCUACUUCUGGGAAGGAUCUUUUAUGCCAUAAAGUCAAUAAGAGAUUUGACGUGACGGUGCAAGCCUUUCCCUCAGAUCUUGGCUAGACACUCUCAGCUUCCUGCUGUUUGGUCAACACUCCCCCUAAGAAUUAGAAGAAAACACACACAUUUGAUUAUUUUAUUAUAAUUUCCACUGUAAAAGUGUAUUUAUUAAGAAGAGUCAAUAAAGAAAUUUUUACAUGCUUGCUUAUUAUAAAAAACGCUGUGAACAAUUUUAUUUUCCCAUUUCCUGAGCCAUUCUCCACACAGCAAUAACUUAGCCAUACAACUAGGAAAUAAGAGAGUGUCUUCUUAGCCAAAAAUAAGGCAAAGAAACAGCCAGGACUGACAGUACAUCGGCAUCAGUAUUACACUGUUUGCUAAUAGUAAACACUGACCUCUUGUUUACCACAGUGGAUUAAAAUGGUGGGUUUUUUUCUAUAAGUCUCCAAAUAGCUGUCAUAUGGUUAUUACUGCCUUUGACCAAAUGCAGUACAGCUAACAACAGGAAUUAAUUCAAUUUCCCAUCACCAAUCUGUUGAGCUGGCCACCUUCUUCAUGGAGCUGGUGCUUUGGGAGGUACUAACUGAAGGACUUUCCACUAAAACUGAUUUUACUGUCUUCAUCUAGUGCAUGGCUCAACUUUCCUUCUUUCCUUUCAUCUCUCUUUCCUCCUUUAGAUUACUUUUCAUUAUGCCUCCCCCCCAACAUACCCACACUUUGCCUUUCAUCUCUAUACAUAUGCUAUUCCAGCACUUGUCAGGCCCAGCAGGAGGCACAUGGGAGAACCAAACAAUAUGAGAUGUUAGGUGGAAGAAAAUAUUAUUAUCAGACACCUUAAAACAAUCAUUUAUUGUCAAACUUUAAAGAGGUCUGCUUUGUUAUUUAUUUUAUUAUUCUGUAUUAGGUACAUGGUUUAGUUUUACAGGCAUUAUUAAUCACUAAAAUACAUUACACUUUCAGCCAGGAUGUUAACAUUUUAAAUGCAUUCAUCUUGCUUCUUUAAACAGAAACAAUGGGCCUUCUGCACUGCCCUCCCUCCCCUCUAGUCAAUAAAUCCUUUCUAUUGAUUCAGGAAAUAACUCUUAAGCCCUGUUUUAUAUUUUAAGUUCCAGUAGCCACACUCAGCCAUAUAAUUUUGCUUAAUAACAAAUGGAUCUUCUAUUUUUGCUGCUUACUAUGUGUUUGGUUAUAAAACUCAGCUUGAAAGUACUAGGUAGAAGGGGACAAAACCUAUAAUGGCUGUGAGUCACCACAAGAGAUUUCUUAAAUGCAUGUUACAAUAAAAUAAGUAUCUGUGAAAAGUCUGUCUCUGUGUGUGUGUGUAUAAAAAGCAGCCUCAUCAGUAGAUGAAUGAUAAAUGAAAAAAUCCAUCAGUGAACAUGGAUUCCCUUGAGUCAGCCUGGAUCAACAGACAAUAUGGAUUUUUGAUAAUUCAUGGCUUUGCCAUUAUUUAUUCUCUCCUGAAAUACCCACUGCAAAUCUCAGAAAGAUAAUUACAGAAUUAUCAUAUUGCUUAACUAAGUAGUGCAAAUUGUAUUAUAUUCUAUUCUAUGUAUCCCAACCCUGGGCAGUAUCAUUAGUGUUGUUUAAUUGUUACAAAUACAGUCAUCGCAUUUUAAUAAAUUGCCUUCGUUGUCAAUAUCCUCAAUCGACUUCUCCUCCUAAUGUUCAUGGAUAGGUUAGUUACCAGGUAAUCUUACAGUAAAUAUAUAGCACAAUGAAGCAAAAAUGUA